UACGAAGGGGGCUAGCGUUGCUCGGAAUCACUGGGCGUAAAGCGCACGUAGGCGGCUUCUCAAGUCAGGGGUGAAAUCCUGGAGCUCAACUCCAGAACUGCCUUUGAUACUGAGGGGCUCGAGUCCGGGAGAGGUGAGUGGAACUGCGAGUGUAGAGGUGAAAUUCGUAGAUAUUCGCAAGAACACCAGUGGCGAAGGCGGCUCACUGGCCCGGUACUGACGCUGAGGUGCGAAAGCGUGGGGGAGCAAACAGG
rnacentral:rRNA from 1 species